GAAGGGAGCUUGCUCCCGGAUGUUAGCGGCGGACGGGUGAGUAACACGUGGGUAACCUGCCUGUAAGACUGGGAUAACUCCGGGAAACCGGAGCUAAUACCGGAUAGUUCCUUGAACCGCAUGGUUCAAGGAUGAAAGACGGUUUCGGCUGUCACUUACAGAUGGACCCGCGGCGCAUUAGCUAGUUGGUGGGGUAAUGGCUCACCAAGGCGACGAUGCGUAGCCGACCUGAGAGGGUGAUCGGCCACACUGGGACUGAGACACGGCCCAGACUCCUACGGGAGGCAGCAGUAGGGAAUCUUCCGCAAUGGACGAAAGUCUGACGGAGCAACGCCGCGUGAGUGAUGAAGGUUUUCGGAUCGUAAAGCUCUGUUGUUAGGGAAGAACAAGUGCGAGAGUAACUGCUCGCACCUUGACGGUACCUAACCAGAAAGCCACGGCUAACUACGUGCCAGCAGCCGCGGUAAUACGUAGGUGGCAAGCGUUGUCCGGAAUUAUUGGGCGUAAAGGGCUCGCAGGCGGUUUCUUAAGUCUGAUGUGAAAGCCCCCGGCUCAACCGGGGAGGGUCAUUGGAAACUGGGAAACUUGAGUGCAGAAGAGGAGAGUGGAAUUCCACGUGUAGCGGUGAAAUGCGUAGAGAUGUGGAGGAACACCAGUGGCGAAGGCGACUCUCUGGUCUGUAACUGACGCUGAGGAGCGAAAGCGUGGGGAGCGAACAGGAUUAGAUACCCUGGUAGUCCACGCCGUAAACGAUGAGUGCUAAGUGUUAGGGGGUUUCCGCCCCUUAGUGCUGCAGCUAACGCAUUAAGCACUCCGCCUNGGGGAGUACNGGUCGCAAGACUGAAACUCAAAGGAAUUGACGGGGGNCCCGCACAAGCGGUGGAGCAUGUGGUUUAANUUCGAAGCAACGCGAAGAACCUUACCAGGUCUUGACAUCCUCUGACAACCCUAGAGAUAGGGCNUUUCCCUUCGGGGACAGAGUGACAGGUGGUGCAUGGUUGUCGUCAGCUCGUGUCGUGAGAUGUUGGGUUAAGUCCCGCAACGAGCGCAACCCUUGAUCUUAGUUGCCAGCAUUCAGUUGGGCACUCUAAGGUGACUGCCGGUGACAAACCGGAGGAAGGUGGGGAUGACGUCAAAUCAUCAUGCCCCUUAUGACCUGGGCUACACACGUGCUACAAUGGACAGAACAAAGGGCUGCAAGACCGCAAGGUUUAGCCAAUCCCAUAAAUCUGUUCUCAGUUCGGAUCGCAGUCUGCAACUCGACUGCGUGAAGCCGGAAUCGCUAGUAAUCGCGGAUCAGCAUGCCGCGGUGAAUACGUUCCCGGGCCUUGUACACACCGCCCGUCACACCACGAGAGUUUGCAACACCCGAAGUCGGUGAGGUAACCUUUAUGGAGCCAGCCGCCGAAG
rnacentral:rRNA from 1 species